rnacentral:rRNA from 1 species
AUUGAACGCUGGCGGCAGGCCUAACACAUGCAAGUCGAACGAGUGGCGGACGGGUGAGUAAUGUCUGGGCAACUGCCCGAUGGAGGGGGAUAACUACUGGAAACGGUAGCUAAUACCGCAUACCAUCGGAUGUGCCCAGAUGGGAUUAGCUAGUAGGUGGGUUAACGGCUCACCUAGGCGCCGAUCCCUAGCUGGUCUGAGAGGAUGCCGAGCCAACAUGGGACUGAGACUCGGUGCAGACUCCUACGGGAGGAAUAAGAGGAGAAUAUUGCACAAUGGGCGCAAGCAUGAUGCAGCCAUGCCGCGUGUAUGAAGAAGGCCUUCGGGUUGUAAAGUACUUUCAGCGAGGAGGCGUUACUCGAAGAAGAAGCACCGGCUAACUCCGUGCCAGCAGCCGCGGUAAUAC